rnacentral:rRNA from 1 species
UACGUAGGGUGCAAGCGUGGUCCGGAAUUAUUGGGCGUAAAGAGCUCGUAGGCGGUUUGUCGCGUCUGCUGUGAAAACUCGGGGCUUAACUCCGGGCCUGCAGUGGGUACGGGCAGACUAGAGUGCGGUAGGGGAGACUGGAAUUCCUGGUGUAGCGGUGAAAUGCGCAGAUAUCAGGAGGAACACCGGUGGCGAAGGCGGGUCUCUGGGCCGUAACUGACGCUGAGGAGCGAAAGCGUGGGGAGCGAACAGG